rnacentral:tRNA from 1 species
GCCCGGGUGGUGAAAUUGGUAGACACAACGGACUUAAAAUCCGUCGGAUGGGUAAAACCUCCGUGCCGGUUCGACCCCGGCUCCGGGCA